UUCUGAAUGAAAGACACCGUUCUCUUUAACAUGCCUAUGAGGUAGCUCACUGAGUGGCCCCUGACGUGUGGAGCCUAUCUGUAGCCUCCUCAGCUACUGGACUGACGGGUGUUAGGGCUGAAGAGGGCUCUGACAAAGAUAGGCCAGCGCAUGGCCGUUUCCUGCUGCCAAAGAAGACAGGCUUUCUCCCGGCUACGGGCAUGCACCGCAGACAUGGGGUUGUCUGUCUCAACGGCAUGGCUUGGAUACCGCAGUGUGGAGCUAGUGUGGGAUUUCCAGUGCUGCUGGGCCCUCUUGGGAUGAGCAGAGCCUCUGAGCUGCAAUUCUUGGCCCAUUUUGGGAAAUCUGAUGGAGUCUAUGGUUUCUCUCCCCCAGAGAAACACAACCCAGACUCAGCCGGAUAUAAGAGCCUGGCAUUUGGGGUAAAGGCCCUUGUGUUAGGGCACUAUGACUCUGUUCUCUUCUCACUUACUUUUUGGGCUUCCUGUUUGGUUUUGCCCUCCUUCCCUUUAGGACUGCAGACAUGGUGCCGGUGCUGUUGGGGCAGUGAUGGCGAGUUCCUGUGUCUGGGGUCAGCUGUCCUGGCGGUGACCGUGUGGAUGACAGGGGCAAGAGUCUCUUGGAAGGAGGUGACACAUUUACCUCCAUUUACGAGUGAGGAGCCAGAAGAAAGAGGGGAGCGAUGAGCUGAGGCCACAAAGCCAGGGAGCAAGAGAGCUUGGGUCUGGAGUUAAGUGGUCUGGUUUCCAAGUCCGAGCUCCCAGCCCUCCACCGCGCUGCCCGGGGCCUGGAGGAAACCCCGUGUGCUGAGCGGGUUUUCUGAACUGAAAAACCAGGAUGAGGAGAAUCAUCCAUUCAACACACGCAAAGCAUUUGUGCUGAUACCUAUUCUGGGCUUUGCUCUGUGUUAGGCUCAGCGUGCACCAGUGGAAAUAUGACAAGGUCCCUGCCGCAUGGGGCUUGGGAAUAGAACACGUGUUACUGGCUCAGCACUGGCCGCCAUCAUCAACGAGCAGAAAGAAGUCCCAUGCAGCUUCCGUGUCAACUGAUGUACUGUGACUCUCCCAUUCCUCAGCUUGUGUGGCCCUGACUCAUGGCUCAGGCUUCUGCAAGGCUCCAGCCUCGGGCCUUCCCUGUGAGACUCAGCAAACACUCACAGAGCGUCCAUCUGCGCGGGCACUUUGCAAAUGGCUCGCGUGCAAUGCUCACUCAAUCCUGGGAGAAAGGGGCAGGCCUGCUCAAGGUGUCUUAGCCACAAAGUGGCAGGGUAGGAUUCAAACCCAGGUCUGCUUCUGAGGCCAGAGGCCCCAGGAGAUGAGGCGGGGACCCUUGGUCC